GCCGCCCCUACACUCUAACCACUAGGCUACCCUGCCGCCUCCACACUCUAACCACUAGGUUACCUGCCGCCCCUACACUCUAACCACUAGUUUACCUGCCGCCCCUACACUCUAACCACUAGGCUACCCUGCCGCCCCUACACUCUAACCACAAGCCUACCCUGCCGCCCCUACACUCUAACCACUAGGCUACCCUGCCGCCCCUACACUCUAACCACUAGGCUACCCUGCCGCCCCUACACUCUAACCACUAGGCUACCCUGCCACCUCUACACUCUAACCACUAGGCUACCCUGCCAACCCUACACUCUAACCACUAGGCUACCCUGCCACCUCUACACUCUAACCACUAGGCUACCCUGCCACCCCUACACUCUAACCACUAGGCUACCUGCCGCCUCUACACUCUAACCACUAGGCUACCUGCCGCCUCUACACUCUAACCACUAGGCUACGCUGCCGCCUCUACACUCUAACCACUAGGCUACCUGCCGCCUCUACGCUCUAACCACUAGGCUACCCUGCCGCCCCUACACUCUAACCACUAGGCUACCUGCCGCCUCUACACUCUAACCACUAGGCUACCCUGCCGCCCCUACACUCUAACCACUAGGCUACCCUGCCGCCUCUACACUCUAACCACUAGGCUACCUGCCACCUCUACACUCUAACCACUAGGUUACCUGCCUCCUCUAC
ensembl:lncRNA